rnacentral:rRNA from 2 species
GACGAACGCUGGCGGUGUGCUUAACACAUGCAAGUCGAACGGUAAGGCCCUUUCGGGGGUACACGAGUGGCGAACGGGUGAGUAACACGUGAGUAACCUGCCCUCAUCUCUGGGAUAACAGUCGGAAACGGUUGCUAAUACUGGAUAUGAGCUUGCAAGGCAUCUUGUGGGUUGGAAAGAUAUUUUUUGGUUGGGGAUGGACUCGCGGCCUAUCAGCUUGUUGGUGAGGUAGUGGCUCACCAAGGCUUCGACGGGUAGCCGGCCUGAGAGGGCGACCGGCCACAUUGGGACUGAGAUACGGCCCAAACUCCUACGGGAGGCAGCAGUGGGGAAUAUUGCACAAUGGACGGAAGUCUGAUGCAGCAACGCCGCGUGCGGGAUGACGGCCUUCGGGUUGUAAACCGCUUUCAAUUGUGACGAAGCUUUU